UCCCGGUUGAGGCGCGCGUUGUCCUCGC
rnacentral:sRNA from 1 species